rnacentral:rRNA from 1 species
AUGUGCAUUCCCAAGGAUAGAGGGGGUAUGGGCUUUCGCGAUAUUCAUAGCUCUAAUUUGGCACUCCUAGCUAAACAGGUUUGGAGGCUUAUUGAGCACCACGAUUCCUUGUGUGCAAGGGUGCUCCGUUCAAAAUACUACCCAAUGGGGGAAUUGCUAAAUUAUGAUCUCAAGAAGGGGGCCUCUUUCGUUUGGCAAAGCAUAUGGGCAGGGGCCCAAACUUUCAAGAAAGGGUGUAUAUGGAGGGUUGGUAACGGCUUGAAGUUGAAUAUUUAG